CUGCACCCUUCACUGUCCACCGCUCAGACUCUGAACAGGAUCUGUUGCCCACUCUUGGGUUUGAUAUUUACAUUUCUGGCUUUUAUUUCUGCCCCUCACCCAUAUCAGCACGGUGAUGGACCCCAGUGGUAACUUCUGCUCCUGAGUGUGAGGGAAAAUUUCUCAAGAACAGUUCUUGUGGCACCACCUUGAACAGACCUCCAACUUAGUCACUAUCAUCAGUUACCCAGCUGCCUUGGGCAUUUUUUUUAGGAUCCCAAGGGAAGGAUAUUUAUUUCUCCACUUUCAUCACUACAGAUUCCUUGGUAACAAGGAAGAACUCAAUUUUGUAAUUAAAAUAAAAGAGAAGUAACCCAACAAAACCAACUAACCAAACCAAACCAAAGACCUGAAGUAACCCACACGUCUCUCCUAGGGUGAAGCUGAUGACUUAAGGAUAAGACCAAGUAAGUGUACAAAUGACAGAAGACAUCAGAUUAAUUGAAAUGUUUUCAUCCUCCUUGCAAUGUCUCUUAAAAAGCAAAGACUGCGAACUCAUGCUGCCCCACCUACUGGCCAGCCAAACCGGGUAGCAUACUGGAGCAAAAGAGGAGGUCAUAGGCCCAACUGUCUGGUUACCCUGCUUAAUACAGGCCAUCUACUCCUUGUCUUCCUGCAAACCACACAGCAGCAUAUCGCAAACAAUCCCUCCUCCGGAGUUGCAGUCCAAUCAUCAGCCUAUGAGAAAAACUACUUCACGUGAAACUUUCCUUUGCCCAUUUUAAGGUCAGCUUAAGGAGCCCUGGUGACCCAGUGGUUAAAGUGAUCGACUGCUAACUGUAAGGUUGGGGGUUCAAAACCACCAGCUCCGUGGAAGAAAGAUGUGGCAAUCUGCUUCCAUAAAGAUUUACAGCCUUGGAAACUCUAUGGGGCAGUUCUCCUCUGUCCUAUAGUGUUGCUGUGAAUUGACUGGAGGCAGUGGAUUGCUUACUCGUAUGGCCCAGCAGGGUGGCACAGGAGAACCUGGACACAUUCAGAAUGCUCAUCAGUUCGGAGUGUGUACGCAGUAAUUUUGAUAUCUGUUGCCUCAAAUACCUCCUCAGUCAUUGUGGAUACAUUUUCCCAUUGCAGACGACCAAGGCCACAUUCAAUCCUGGUACCUGUCUUCCAAGAUGUUGAACAUUUUUGAUCUACAACAUUCCUGGGCAUGGAGAGGUCCUUGACUGCAUUCUCCAGGCAAUGGGAUUUCAUGACCUGUAAAUUCUUCUGUUUUCAACAGGACACAAUCUUCGGGUUGGAACCUAUGAAGGAGAAUGUCAGAAGGGAAA